CGAAGGAUCCAAGCGUUGUCCGGAUUUACUGGGUUUAAAGGGUGCGUAGGCGGAUAAAUAAGUCAGAGGUGAAAGCCUGCAGCUCAACUGUAGAAUUGCCUUUGAAACUGUUUAUCUAGAGUACACUUGAGGUGGCUGGAAUAUAUCAUGUAGCGGUGAAAUGCUUAGAUAUGAUAUAGAACACCAAUUGCGAAGGCAAGUCACUAAGAUGUAACUGACGCUGAGGCACGAAAGCGUGGGUAGCAAACAGGAUUAGAUACCCUGGUAGUCCACGCCGUAAACUCUGAAUACUCGCUGUUGGCGAUACACAGUCAGCGGCUAAGCGAAAGCGUUAAGUAUUCCACCUGGGGAGUACGAUCGCAAGAUUG
rnacentral:rRNA from 1 species